rnacentral:rRNA from 1 species
AGAGUUUGAUCCUGGCUCAGGAUGAACGCUGGCGGCAUGCCUAAUACAUGCAAGUCGAACGAGAGGAAGGAAAGCUUGCUUUUCUGAAUCUAGUGGCGAACGGGUGAGUAACACGUAGGUAACCUGCCCAUGUGCCCGGGAUAACUUCUGGAAACGGAUGCUAAAACCGGAUAGGUAGCAGACAAGCAUUUGACUGCUAUUAAAGUGGCUAAGGCCAUGAACAUGGAUGGACCUGCGGUGCAUUAGCUAGUUGGUGAGGUAACGGCCCACCAAGGCGACGAUGCAUAGCCGGCCUGAGAGGGCGGACGGCCACAUUGGGACUGAGACACGGCCCAAACUCCUACGGGAGGCAGCAGUAGGGAAUUUUCGUCAAUGGGGGGAACCCUGAACGAGCAAUGCCGCGUGAGUGAGGAAGGUCUUCGGAUCGUAAAGCUCUGUUGUAAGAGAAAAACGACAUUCAUAGGGAAUGAUGAGUGAGUGAUGGUAUCUUACCAGAAAGUCACGGCUAACUACGUGCCAGCAGCCGCGGUAAUACGUAGGUGGCGAGCGUUAUCCGGAAUGAUUGGGCGUAAAGGGUGCGUAGGUGGCAGAACAAGUCUGGAGUAAAAGGUAUGGGCUCAACCCGUACUGGCUCUGGAAACUGUUCAGCUAGAGAACAGAAGAGGACGGCGGAACUCCAUGUGUAGCGGUAAAAUGCGUAGAUAUAUGGAAGAACACCGGUGGCGAAGGCGGCCGUCUGGUCUGUUGCUGACACUGAAGCACGAAAGCGUGGGGAGCAAAUAGGAUUAGAUACCCUAGUAGUCCACGCCGUAAACG